rfam:Ipomoea nil DNA, scaffold: scaffold0679, cultivar: Tokyo-kokei standard.
UAGCCAUGGUGGGGGCAUUUAAUGAGCAACAUUUUAAACCUUUCCCAUGCCUCAUGAAAUGGUUCGCCUUCAGCUUGCGAAAAAGUCGCAAUUUUUCUUCUUAAUUCG